rnacentral:rRNA from 1 species
GACGUAGGGCGCGAGCGUUGUCCGGAUUUAUUGGGCGUAAAGAGCUCGUAGGCGGCUUGUUGCGUCGACCGUGAAAACCCGGGGCUCAACUUCGGGCUUGCGGUCGAUACGGGCGGGCUAGAGUUCGGUAGGGGAGACUGGAAUUCCUGGUGUAGCGGUGAAAUGCGCAGAUAUUCGGAGGAACACCAGUGGCGAAGGCGGCUCGCUGGCGCGAUACUGACGCUGAGGUGCGAAAGCGUGGGGAGCAAACAGG